rnacentral:rRNA from 1 species
ACUCCUACGGGAGGCAGCAGUGGGGAAUUUUGGACAAUGGGGGCAACCCUGAUCCAGCCAUUCCGCGUGAGUGAAGAAGGCCUUCGGGUUGUAAAGCUCUUUCGCAAGGGAAGAAAACUUAUGAUCGAAUAAAUCAUGAGGUUGACGGUACCUUGAUAAGAAGCACCGGCUAACUACGUGCCAGCAGCCGCGGUAAUAC